rnacentral:sRNA from 1 species
ACUACAAUCUUUUAAACUUGUUGUCCGUCUUCUUCAUUCUCUCUAAUUCUUUCAUUACACUUAUGAUUCCGAUCGACUAAAGGAUCACCAAUCUCAACCUGAGAGAGUCAUCUAUCUACGAUCAGGUUACUUAGUUGUAGUCGUUCUCUCUCUCUUUUAUUUUUAUCUAUUUCUGUUUCAUUAUGUUAUCCAUGAUUUGUAAUUGUAUAUAUUAGGGUCUUCUAGGGUUCAUCGAUUCUCUUUUCAUUGUCGUGUGACUCUGUUUUUCUGAUUUUUGCGUGUCACAGACUCGCAGGGAGUGAUUCUUCUCGGAUUCAAGCAAGUAAGGACGAAGAUUCUCCUUGAUCCUUUAAUUUUAUGUCUAUGGUAAGAGAU